UACGAAGGGGGCUAGCGUUGCUCGGAAUCACUGGGCGUAAAGCGCACGUAGGCGGACUCUUAAGUCAGGGGUGAAAUCCUGGAGCUCAACUCCAGAACUGCCUUUGAUACUGAGAGCCUUGAGUUCGGGAGAGGUGAGUGGAACUGCGAGUGUAGAGGUGAAAUUCGUAGAUAUUCGCAAGAACACCAGUGGCGAAGGCGGCUCACUGGCCCGAUACUGACGCUGAGGUGCGAAAGCGUGGGGAGCAA
rnacentral:rRNA from 1 species